CACUGAAUGCUGGAAGGUCCAGGAACUGAUGAGGAAACCCUGCCCUUGACCUCUGGUCGGGCAGGUAGAUGGGUAGUAAUCAUCGCGAUUAUAGCUCCCACUCACUGCGUGCUAAUUCUGCGCGGGUCCUGUCCUAAGUGCUUUCUAUAUUGGAAGCCUCCGAACAUUCUUACGUGGGAGAUACUUUUGUGAUUCCCAUUUUAUAAAUGAGGAAAAUGGGCGCAGAGAACUUUUUUUUAAUGUGCGUUUUUAUUCUUGAGAGAGUGCCAGCGCGGGAGGGGCGGAGAGAGGGGGACACAGGACCCCAAGGGGACCCUGUGUUGACAGCAGCCAGUCCGAUGCAGAGCUCGUAGUCACGAACCGGGAGAUCGUGACGUGAGCAGAAGUCAGAUGCUCAACUGACUGAGCCACCCAGGUGCCCCUGGGCACAGAGAAUUUAAGUGAAAAAAGCAUCCCACGGCUUGUAUGAGUCUGCUAGGGCUGCCUCGCAAAAGUGCCACAGACUCGGGGCUUACCCUACAGAAGUGUAUUUCUUCACAAUUCCAGAAGCUGGAAGUCCCAGGUCAAGGUAUUAGCAGAGCUGGUUUCUUCUGCGGUCACUCUCCUUGGCUUGUAGAUGCCACCUUCUCCCUGUGUCCUCACAGGGUCUCCCCCCUCCCCGCCCUGUGUGACUCUGUCCUAAUCUCUUCUUAUAAGGACACAGUCACAAUGGAUUAGGGCCCGCCCUAAUGACCUCAUUUAACUGAACUAGUUCUAGAAAGUGACGGUCUCCAGUCAACUUUGAGGUCCUGGGGGUUAGGACUUCAACAUACGAAUUCGAGGGGGACACAGAGGCGGACCCAGGAUUUGAACCCAGGCUGGUGGCUCCAAGCUCCUGCAGCUCACAGAGAAUUGCCACAGUGACUGACAGAGACGAGGCCGGAGGAGUCCCGGAGCAGGGGACACCUGCAGGGGGUGACAGGGAGCGAUGGUUGGUGUCUCCCAAGUCCAGCCCCGCCUCACGGCUCUCUAAACCCUGGGAACCCUACAUUCUCUGGGAGCUCUCAAACUCCAAACGGAUCUCCUUCCGUGGCCAGGAGUCUCCCCUGCCCUGGAGCAGAGCAACAGACGUGGGGCCAGAAGAAAAGAUUCUCCUCUCCCCCAGGCACCUUGCUGGGUCUUUCCCCAGGGUCCGUCCAACGCAGACAAUAACGCUGCAAGUGAGUGAGUGUUAUCUCCAAGAGGAGAAAACGGAGGCCAAGUUCUUUGCGGUUCUUCUUUUCCCCUCCCCCUUGGACACACCCUGCCAGAGAGUUUUGUAACUGGGGGAUCCGCGUCAGUUAUGGGCUGCGACAAUUCUACAGCCAAAAACACUGAGGCUCAGAGAAGGAAUACGAUUCAUUGAAGCCACAAAACGUAUUCUGAUUGGAACCAGGAUACCCAGCUGGAGUGUGAACCUAGGCGGAGAUACCAGUGGGCAAAAUUGUAAUGGGGUAUUGAAGACCAGUCGGGAGUGGAUAAAUGGAUUUCAUCUCUCCCGCCUGGCGGUGGAUGAGAAAUGGCCACCUGGAGUAUAUUGUAUUGAGAAUUCUCUGUGUCAUAUCGACUAGUGAUGUCUGUCCUUCAUAACAACUAGUGAUGUCUGCCCUGGGCAAAGAACAAAAAUGGGAGCGUAUGCACACGGUUA